rnacentral:rRNA from 1 species
UUGGAGGGCAAGUCUGGUGCCAGCAGCCGCGGUAAUUCCAGCUCCAAUAGCGUAUAUUAAAGUUGUUGCAGUUAAAAAGCUCGUAGUUGAAUUUCGGGAUCAAUGGAUUGGUCAUGCCGUUGGUAUGUACUGAUUUUAUUGAUUCUCACCUUCUAAAGAAUCAUAAUGCCAUUAAUUUGGUGUUGUGAGGAAUUAGGACUGUUACCUUGAAAAAAUUAGAGUGUUUAAAGCAGGCUUACGCUUGAAUACAUUAGCAUGGAAUAACGAAAUAGGACAUCGCAUUCUAUUUUGUUGGUUUCUAGGAUCGAUGUAAUGAUUAAUAGGGAUAGUUGGGGGCAUUAGUAUUCAAUUGUCAGAGGUGAAAUUCUUGGAUUUAUUGAAGACUAACUACUGCGAAAGCAUUUGCCAAGGAUGUUUUCAUUAAUCAAGAACGAAAGUUAGGGGAUCGAAGACGAUCAGAUACCGUCGUAGUCUUAGCCAUAAACUAUGCCGACUAGGGAUCGGAUGAUGUUAAUUUUUUAAUGACUCAUUCGGCACCUUACGGGAAAC